AGUGAACGCUGGCGGUAGGCCUAACACAUGCAAGUCGAACGGCAGCACAGGAGAGCUUGCUCUCUGGGUGGCGAGUGGCGGACGGGUGAGGAAUACAUCGGAAUCUACUUUUUCGUGGGGGAUAACGUAGGGAAACUUACGCUAAUACCGCAUACGACCUACGGGUGAAAGCAGGGGAUCUUCGGACCUUGCGCGAUUGAAUGAGCCGAUGUCGGAUUAGCUAGUUGGCGGGGUAAAGGCCCACCAAGGCGACGGUCCGUAGCUGGUCUGAGAGGAUGGUCAGCCACACUGGAACUGAGACACGUGCCAGACUCCUACGGGAGGCAGCAGUGGGGAAUGUUGGACAAUGGGCGCAAGCCUGAUCCAGCCAUACCGCGUGGGUGAAGAAGGCCUUCGGGUUGUAAAGCCCUUUUGUUGGGAAAGAAAUCCAGCUGGUUAAUACCCGGUUGGGAUGACGGUACCCAAAGAAUAAGCACCGGCUAACUUCGUGCCAGCCGCCGCAGUAA
rnacentral:rRNA from 1 species